CUGGGGUGGAGUGGUCUCCCAGCAUGACAGCUGUCAUUCUCCCGUACCAAUGAGACCUCUUCUGCCCCUGCUUGCAGCGGGAAGCAAUCAAUUGCCAUUGAUGACUGCACCUUCCACCAGUGUGUGCGACUCAGCAAGUUUGACUCUGAACGCAGCAUCAGCUUUAUCCCGCCAGAUGGAGAGUUUGAGCUUAUGAGGUGCCAUUGGGGUGUGAGGAGGCAGCUAGUGCUGCUGGCAGAUUGGGGAGACGAAGUGGGUCAGCUCUUUGGUAACCUUGCUUCCCAUCCCUUAAGGUAUCGCACAACCAAGGACAUCAUCCUUCCCUUCCGGGUGAUCCCGCUAGUGCGAGAAGUGGGACGCACCAAACUGGAGGUCAAGGUGGUCAUCAAGUCCAACUUUAAACCCUCACUGCUGGCUCAGAAGAUUGAGGUGAGGAUCCCAACCCCACUGAACACAAGCGGGGUGCAGGUGAUCUGCAUGAAGGGGAAGGCCAAGUACAAGGCCAGCGAGAAUGCCAUCGUGUGGAAGUGAGUCUUUCCUUCAUUAGGCCACAGCAGGGCUCAAGAUCCCAGUAUACCCUCU
rnacentral:sRNA from 1 species